GAGUCAACGUGGAAAACGUCAACAGUUUAGUUCGUGCAACGCAUCCUCGCGUUCACCAGCUUCUCAAACCCGCGUUUAGUUUAUUUUGGCGAUCGCCUCAGCGAAGCGGAUCGGAUGAGGUCGUGCAACCUUCAUUAUAGUUCUGGUUUUGUUGGUCAUCCCGCGGGAAACGGUGAGACACCGCCGGGUCCAGACUGAGAGGACGAGGACAGGUCACACACCUGGCGUGCGCGACGCGGGCACGUUUCUUCUUCAUCUCUUCACUGACCAGGGAGCUGCAGGCUUCAGAUGUCGAAGAUGCCAGGAAGGUUCAGCAAGUUCCCACACGUAUAGUAAACCGCAGCAGGAAAUAUCCGAGAUUCGGUAAAAUGAAACGCUUUCUCUGAUCGCACCUUCCCGGACAAGCAAACCCGUCUUUCCACAUUGUGUUCCAGGGCCUUUAACGAGGCUGCCAAAAAGUAAAUUAAAGACAGAGCCAUGGGACGCACCAUUAAACGGCGUUCAUGACACGACAGAAGCAGCCCAGCCUGUUUGAAGGUUGAUGGUGUAGAAGAGAGAACCGCAGCUGAACGCAUUAACCCAACGCCUCACCUGAGUCAGCGCAAACACCGAUCAUUUAGUGUUUCCAGCAGUGGCUGUUAUCUGUUACUUCAUCGCUCAAACGAACAAGUUUUUAUGCUGCAUGUUGGUUAUAUUUCCAGACGAGCAUUAAGCAGGGCGAUGCCAUUCAUGUAAAGGGGGGAACGUUACAGAUCACAGACGGAAAGCAGGAAGAGAUCAGAAAAACCAGAUUCCCACACAAACAAAUUUUUACCUGUUAGAAUAUUAUCUGACAAUUUGGUGCGCAAAUUGUCUUGUCAUCAAAAAACUUGAUGUUUUACCUGCAGAAAACAUCAAGGGUUUUUACAUUUAAAUGACUUUAUAUGUACAAAUAAUGCGUCAGGUUGAACACGUCACAAACAAAUUGGAGCAAGAUGUUUGGAGCGGAAUAAAAAGUGGCAUAAUUAGGUUGACUGCUGAGAUGCAGGUUUAUCUUUAUGUACCAAUUUCUUUCAUUAAGGACAAAUUGGAAAGAGUCCAAAUGUUUUUCCAAAAGUCAGAAGCUUGUUAUUAAUCUAGUUUUUCUUUUUAAGACGUCGUUGCUGGGGAUGAAAGAAAGUGAUUUAAUAUUGUAAUGUCUUCUGAGCCUGCCAGAUCUGCAACUAGAGAUAAUCAAAUCAAACAGCAACUAUUUACGUGUUUUGUUCUCAGUAUUUGUUUCACGCAGGAAGACCGCUGUAGGGCUCCGGCCUCCUACUCCACUUCCAAUCAUCAGCUUCUGUCUAAAUGACCACCAGUACCAAACAUGGCAACGUUUUAUGAGUCAGUGUUCACAUAAAACCACCACAAUGUCUUUGAGAUCAGAGUUGGUUUUGUUUUAGUCACGUUUCCUCUCAGCAGAAAGAAUCAACUUACAGAGGAUUCAUAAUAAAUGAAGACGUCAAGCUAGGUUUAUGCUACAAAUCAUAACCAUUUAACAAAAACUCACUUCAAAAAUUCAGAACAGAAGGGGCUUUCAAUGCUUUUCCAGUGACAUGAUUUUCUUUUUUUCAUUCCUGGUCAUGUAAGUAAGUUUGCCUUUUUAUAAACAUUUACCUCAUUCUCAAAUCUCUCUGAGAUAUCAUGCUGUAUUAAUGUCUGUCUUAACAGUAUGCCAGUCCACUUAUGUGCUCAAACAGGAACUAAACUCAGACGUAUUUAGUUAAAAUUAGUAGUGACUGGCAAGAAGGUUGUUGUUUUUCCCCUAACAAAAGGUUAAUAUGCAAACUCCACCAGAUCACACUAACAGAUAAACAGUGAUGAGGUUAUAGUGGGAUGCAAAACGACAGAGAUAAGGAGACGCAUCUCUUGACAAACAGGGUCAAGAGGUUGCAUCUCCUCCCCAUUCCUCCCCUGACUUCUCCCACCGACUUCUCAAAUCACGUCAGACCCGCUGCGCAAACGAGGAAAGGCUCCUGCCUCCGUUUGAGAGACUGAACAUCCGCAUUUGCUCUGCGUGCAUUAAACAGGGGGUAUCCAUUUCUGCCUCGCUCACAGUUCACAAAGGCUUAGUUAAGCCUGACAAAACAGCCUCCGAGCCAGAGGAGUCAAACAGGAUGCCAGGUUGCGAGGAGGAACGGCUGCUUGGGACAAAGAGACGAGCAGUGACAAAAGCACAAAGGCAUGUGAUGUGCAAAGCCAUCAGCGCCCAGAACUGAUUGUGCGAAUAACCGAAACACAAGUGCGUGUUUGCCUGUGUGUGCAAUUAAGAGCAGAUGUCUUAUUAACAAGGUUUAAUAGAAUAUCGGGGCGUUGCUCAGUUCUUGUUUUGUCGUUAUGCCUUGAAAUGCUGAAUAGGAUUUUUCUCAGGUAAGACAGAAGUGCUAGCUUUAAAUCCACAAGUAAAUGAGUGUUACACCGUUGUCUGUGUUUAGCCGUCAAAACAGGCCUGUAAUCUGAUUUUUGUGAUGAUUAACGAUCAGAUUUGAUGGUUUGAAAAACUAGUCGAUUCUGACCUCUGGCUGACUGACUGAUGCAUGAACUAGAGAUAUCCUAGUAAUUCCACAAUAAACAAUUUAAAAGAUGCGACGACCUCUAUAAAUGAACAUGUUUUCUGUUGCGGUUCUGUUGCAAAAGAACAGCAAAAAAAAUUGAAAGAAAUCAGAGAAAACCUCAUUUGUGCGUCUCUACUUUAACAACACUAACAGCUACCUGUGACGUCUCAUUUCUCUCAAAAGUAGAAGAACACAAGAGGGAACAAAAAAGAUCAUUUUUAACAGUAACAAGCAACAGAAGCAGGGUAGCAUGCAGAUAAUAUCUACAUGCACAUCAGGAGUAACACCAGUUAAAGUUUCGGAUCUUGAUCCUGGCCUGCAUGUUGAAAUGACCUUAGGAAAGAUACUAAACCCCAAUCUGCCUCUACGACAUUCAGAGGCACUGCACCACUUCCCACUGCCCAUUAUCAAAAAGGCCUGUAAGAAUAGGUCUGUGCAGGUGUAAUGCAGUCCGAUCUCUAAUCGAGGUGAUUUCACUGUACUUGUACAAAUACAAAACUCAGCUUUAUUUUUUUUUUAAGGACAUGACUACGUCCAGUGCUUCUUGUUAAAGAGUUGAACAUCCAUGCAGCCACAGCCUGUCCUGUUUGCAUGUGCUACCAUCAUGUGAUCGGUACAGAAAAAGGGCAGCUCCUCUCUGAGCAGAUGUCUCUGCUGAAUCCUCCAAGCAAACCACAAUGCCCCCAAGCCUAUAUUGACACAGCAAUGUGGGCGGAUAAUGUUACCUGUGCUCUAAAGCUGCGCUGCCUCGACAAAAAACAAAAAACAAAAAAAAAACACAACUGCAGACUGGGUGACUCAAGACUUUUGCAACCAGUGGAGGGAACAUUUCAAAACACGGUCAUGUGCUCAGAGUCGGCGUGAAUCGGAAGAUGUUGCGGUUUCAGCAGGUCGAACGAAGGCAGUUCCUUUAAAGCCUCACAUUUUCACAUUUUCUUGACGGGAUGUGUGCGCCGUGAAGGCAGGCACCUUUGAGAUCUCAUAAUUAUAGACUUUAGUCUCAGCUGUGCACAACAUAAACAAACCCAUCGGCAGGCUGAAGCCACGGCAACCAGAGGUUGGAUAAGGUGGGAUAAAAAUCAACAGGAUCGGAAGAAGAAGAAAAAAAAUUAACAUAAUAGUAAUAGACAUAAUAUAGUCCUUGAGAUGAGGCUUUAUGUCCAAACUUAACCAAACAACAGUCCUCUUGCAUUUCAUUUUAGAAAUAAAGAGUCGACAUUUUAA